CGCCGCCCGGGCCGCCGAGGUGGCCUCGUGCCAGGAGGCGGGCAGCUCGCCCAGGCCCCGGCGGGCCAGCGCGACCCCGGCGGCGGCGCCC
rnacentral:tRNA from 1 species